GACGCUCUCCUCAAGGACGCAAGCCAUGCAUGCCCGCACACCCGGGAAGCGGCGGACGGCUCAGGACGACGGUUGCACCCCCCGCGGCGGUCCCUGCUAGACGGACAACGCUGGCAACCCGGCGCCAAGACGUGCGCGCAAGUGCGCCCGCCCCCGCGGCGAGCAGCGCAACGCAGCGACGGGCCGCCCGGGCUUCCGCGGCAUCACCUGGUCGGCGCGGUCGCGGCGGGCCGAGGGCGCGACGCCUGGCGGAGAAUCAGGGUUCGACUCCGGAGAGCGGGCCUGAGAGACGGCCCGCACAUCCAAGGACGGCAGCAGGCGCGGAACUUGCCCAAUGCGCGCGCGCGAGGCAGCGACGAGGAGUGCCGCGGGGCGGAGCGAGGCGGGCGCACAGCCCCCGCCGCGGAGCCGAGGGCAAGGUCUGGUGCCAGCAGCCGCG
rnacentral:rRNA from 1 species